AUGAAGUGUCACUUGAAGUAUGUAGUGGCGGCACAGGUUCUGCCAGGUGUCAGUUUUGGGAAUGUCCUCACACCAGUCCAAACUGAGGUGUUUGGGACAGAGGGAGACAAUAUAACUUUGUCCUAUAACUACUCCUCAGCUAUUAGUCUGCAGUGGUAUCGCCAAUAUCCAAACUCAGCUCCUGAAUACCUUUUAGUCAUAUUGGAUGCUACAGGGAAAGUUUCUCAAAAGUCUAAAAUUGUAGAUCAAGAUCCUCGAUUCACUGGAAAACUGAAUGAAAAGAAAACCCAAGUGAUUCUGGAAAUCUCGUCUGCUAAAGUGACAGACUCUGCGAUGUACUACUGUGCCCUGACGCCCACAUUGACAGGAAAACACUACACACCAUACAAAAACCUGACUGACUCUUAA